GCUGCUCAUCUAACUGCUGGUGUGAAUUUCUCUUCUUCUGAAAGAAAUAUAUCUGUUCCUCAUGGAAAUCCUCCUGAAAGUCAUCAACAUGUUCCACACAUUGAUGGCCAGAGUUCUAUGAUACCUGGGUUGAGCAGACAACAUUAUGAACAAUUGAUGACCCUGCUGCAACAAACUCAGUUAGGCGACUCCACUGCCCAGUCUCCUCCUCCCAUGUAUGCUGCCAAUUUUGCUGGUACUAUGCUAACUGAGAGCUCUGUUUCUGAUUCAAAUUUUGCAUGAUAACUCACAUUAAUUCUACCACCUGGAUAAUAGACUCAGGGGCAUCUAACCAUAUGACCUUUAAUAAAGAUUUACUCUUCAAUCUCACACCUUUAACUGUACCCUAUCCUCAGGGGCUUCUAACCAUAUGACCUUUAAUAAGGAUUUACUCUUCAAUCUCACACCUUUAACUGUACCUAUCUUGUUACUCUUCCUAAUGGAUAUAAAGUGAAAGUGACAUGCACAGGAUCUUUU
rnacentral:lncRNA from 1 species